rnacentral:rRNA from 1 species
UAUACCAGGUAGUAACAGGGUUUGAUCCUGGAACUCAGAUUGAACGCUGGCGGGAUGUUUACACAUGCAAGUCGAACGGCAGCACGGACUUCGGUCUGGUAAGAGUGGCGAACGGGUGAGUAAUGUAUCGGAACGUGCCUAGUAGCGGGGAUAACUACGCGAAAGCGUAGCUAUUACCGUACACGCCCUUCGGGGAAAGGGGGACUCCGGCCUUUGCACUAUUAGAGCGGCCGAUAUCGGAUUAGCUAGUUGGUGGGGUAACGGCUCACCAAGGCGACGAGAUCCUGUGUUGGUCGAGGACGACCACUGACCGAGACAUUACCCAGAUCUACGGGAGGCAGCAGUGGGGAAUUUUGGACAAUGGGGAAACUCCCGAUCCAGGCCAUCCCGCGUGGUGCGAUGCUGAAGGCCUUCGGUUGUAAAGCACUUUUGGCAGGAAGAAACGGCACGGGAUAAUACCCCGUGCAACUGACGGUACCUGCAGAAUAAGCACCGGCUAACUACGUGCCGCAGCCGCGGUAAUACGUAGGGUGCAAGCGUUAAUCGGAAUGCCAUGUAAAGCGUGCAGGCGGUUCGGAAAGAAAGAUGUGAAAUCCCAGAGCUUAACUUUGGAACUGCAUUUUUAACUACCGAGCCAGAGUGUCAGAGGGAGGUGGAAUUCGCGUGUAGCAGGAAUGCAGAUGGUGGAGUACUGACCGAUGAUAGCAGCCUCCCGGGAUAACACUGACGUCGAAAAUGAAAGCGUGGGGAGCAAACAGGAUUAGAUACUCCCGGUAGUCCACGCCCAAACGAUGUCAACUAGCUGUUGGGGCCUUCGGGCCUUUGGCAGCGCAGCUAACGCGUGAAGUUGACCGCCUGGGGAGUACGGUCGCAAGAUUAAAACCAAAGGAAUUGACGGGGACCUCGCACAAGCGGUGGAUGAUGUGGAUUAAUUCGAUGCAACGCGAAAACCUUACCUACCCUUGACAUGUCUGGAAUCCCGAAGAGAUUUGGGAGUGCUCGCAAGAGAACCGGAACACAGGUGCUGCAUGGCUGUCGCCAGCUCGAAACGAGAUGUUGGGUUAAGUCCCGCAACGAGCGCAACCCUUGUCAUUAGUUGCUACGAAAGGGUGACUGACGAGACUGCCGGUGACAAACCGUGGAGGAAGGUGGGAUGACGUCAAGUCCUCAUGGCCCUUAUGGGUAGGGCUUCACACGUCAUAAUGAAGCCGGACAGAGGGUCGCCAACCCAGCGAGGGGGGAUUAACCCAGAAACCCGAUCGUAGUCCGGAUCGCAGCGCCUGCAACUCGACUGCGUGAAGUCGAAUCGCCAGUAAUCGCGGAUCAGCAUGUCGCGGUGAAUACGUUCCCGGGUCUUGUACACACCGCCCGUCACACCAUGGGAGUGGGUUUACCAAAGUAGUUAGCCUAACCGUAAGGAGGGCGAUUACCACGGUAGGAUUCAUGACUGGGGUGAAGUCGUAACAAGGUAG